rnacentral:rRNA from 1 species
UACGAAGGGUGCUAGCGUUGUUCGGAAUUACUGGGCGUAAAGAGCGCGUAGGCGGUUGUACUAGUCAGGGGGGAAAUCCCAGAGCUUAACUCUGGAACUGCCUUUGAAACUGUGCAGCUGGAGUGUGUGAGGGGAUAGCGGAAUUCCUAAUGUAGAGGUGAAAUUCGUAGAUAUUAGGAGGAACACCGGUGGCGAAGGCGGCUAUCUGGCACACAACUGACGCUGAGGCGCGAAAGCGUGGGGAGCGAACAGG